GUUAUAGUGAAGGUCAGGUCAGUGACCAACCUCAAGGUCACUAUAGGUCAGUAAACCUUCAAUGGUCGUACAGGAGAGAUGUGUUGCUCCUCCUCCUGCUGCCCCGCCGGCUUUACCGCUUCCUCAGCUUCUUAAUAGAUCUAAAUAAUAGUCAAGAGGAACACUGUUGAUUACCACCAGCAACUGCAGUGACACCAAACAUCAACCUACUGGUCACUGUACAUCAAUACUGAUGAAGUCAUUGACAGGAGAAAAUAAAAGUGAAGGUAAAGAAUAGCAACAACACAAGACAAGGUCACAGGUAAAACUAGAAGUAAUCCAUUAUGCAAUCCAGUAGAUAAGAAAAUACCUACAAGUGGAGGAUUGAUUCCAUGGUCCAAGAAGUUGAGGAAACAGUGUUUAAUACAAGAACA